CAGCCGCCGCGGUAAUACGUAGGGCGCAAGCGUUGUCCGGAUUUAUUGGGCGUAAAGGGCUCGUAGGCGGUCUGUCACGUCGGAUGUGAAAACUCAGUGCUUAACACUGGGCCUGCAUUCGAUACGGGCAGACUAGAGUUCGGUAGGGGAGACUGGAACUCCUGGUGUAGCGGUGGAAUGCGCAGAUAUCAGGAAGAACACCGAUGGCGAAGGCAGGUCUCUGGGCCGAUACUGACGCUGAGGAGCGAAAGCGUGGGGAGCGAACAGGAUUAGAUACCCUGGUAGUCCACGCCGUAAACGGUGGGCACUAGGUGUGGGAAACUAUCUACGUUUUCCGCGCCGCAGCUAACGCAUUAAGUGCCCCGCCUGGGGAGUACGGCCGCAAGGCUAAAACUCAAAGGAAUUGACGGGGGCCCGCACAAGCGGCGGAGCAUGCGGCUUAAUUCGAUGCAACGCGAAGAACCUUACCUAGGCUUGACAUAUAGCGUUUACCGGCAGAGAUGUCGGGUCCUUCGGGGCGCUAUACAGGUGGUGCAUGGCC
rnacentral:rRNA from 1 species